AAUAGAUGACGCUGUUGACUUUUUCUCAUAUGUUUGACCAUUCAUCUUAUUUAAAAAUUUUACAUAAUUAUAAUUUAUUUUGUUACGAGUUGUUUUAUCACUCAUAGUACUUUAAGUGUGAUUUAUAUCUUAUAUAUUUGCAUAAAUUUUUUGAAUAAGACGAAUGAUCAAACAUGUAAGAAAAAGUCAACGGCGUUAUCUGUU
rnacentral:pre_miRNA from 1 species